UUAAGCGACUAAGCGUACACGGUGGAUGCCCUGGCAGUCAGAGGCGAUGAAGGACGUGCUAAUCUGCGAAAAGCGUCGGUAAGGUGAUAUGAACCGUUAUAACCGGCGAUGUCCGAAUGGGGAAACCCAGUGCAAUUCGUUGCACUAUCGUUAACUGAAUACAUAGGUUAACGAGGCGAACCGGGGGAACUGAAACAUCUAAGUACCCCGAGGAAAAGAAAUCAACCGAGAUUCCCCCAGUAGCGGCGAGCGAACGGGGAGCAGCCCAGAGUCUGAAUCAGCUUGUGUGUUAGUGGAACGGUCUGGAAAGUCCGACGGUACAGGGUGAUAGUCCCGUACACCAAAAUGCACAGGUUGUGAACUCGAAGAGUAGGGCGGGACACGUGGUAUCCUGUCUGAAUAUGGGGGGACCAUCCUCCAAGGCUAAAUACUCCUGACUGACCGAUAGUGAACCAGUACCGUGAGGGAAAGGCGAAAAGAACCCCGGCGAGGGGAGUGAAAAAGAACCUGAAACCGUGUACGUACAAGCAGUGGGAGCACCUUCGGGUGUGACUGCGUACCUUUUGUAUAAUGGGUCAGCGACUUAUAUUCUGUAGCAAGGUUAACCGUAUAGGGGAGCCGCAGGGAAACCGAGUCUUAACUGGGCGUUAAGUUGCAGGGUAUAGACCCGAAACCCGGUGAUCUAGCCAUGGGCAGGUUGAAGGUUGGGUAACACUAACUGGAGGACCGAACCGACUAAUGUUGAAAAAUUAGCGGAUGACUUGUGGCUGGGGGUGAAAGGCCAAUCAAACCGGGAGAUAGCUGGUUCUCCCCGAAAGCUAUUUAGGUAGCGCCUCGUGAACUCAUCUUCGGGGUAGAGCACUGUUUCGGCUAGGGGGGCAUCCCGACUUACCAACCCGAUGCAAACUACGAAUACCGAAGAAUGUUAUCACGGGAGACACACGGCGGGUGCUAACGUCCGUCGUGAAGAGGGAAACAACCCAGACCGCCAGCUAAGGUCCCAAAGUCAUGGUUAAGUGGGAAACGAUGUGGGAAGGCACAGACAGCCAGGAUGUUGGCUUAGAAGCAGCCAUCAUUUAAAGAAAGCGUAAUAGCUCACUGGUCGAGUCGGCCUGCGCGGAAGAUGUAACGGGGCUAAACCAUGCACCGAAGCUGCGGCAGCGACACUAUGUGUUGUUGGGUAGGGGAGCGUUCUGUAAGCCUGCGAAGGUGACCUGUGAGGGUUGCUGGAGGUAUCAGAAGUGCGAAUGCUGACAUAAGUAACGAUAAAGCGGGUGAAAAGCCCGCUCGCCGGAAGACCAAGGGUUCCUGUCCAACGUUAAUCGGGGCAGGGUGAGUCGACCCCUAAGGCGAGGCCGAAAGGCGUAGUCGAUGGGAAACAGGUUAAUAUUCCUGUACUUGGUGUUACUGCGAAGGGGGGACGGAGAAGGCUAUGUUAGCCGGGCGACGGUUGUCCCGGUUUAAGCAUGUAGGCUGGUUGUCCAGGCAAAUCCGGAUAAUCAAGGCUGAGGUGUGAUGACGAGGCACUACGGUGCUGAAGUAACAAAUGCCCUGCUUCCAGGAAAAGCCUCUAAGCAUCAGGUAACAUCAAAUCGUACCCCAAACCGACACAGGUGGUCAGGUAGAGAAUACCAAGGCGCUUGAGAGAACUCGGGUGAAGGAACUAGGCAAAAUGGUGCCGUAACUUCGGGAGAAGGCACGCUGGUGUGUAGGUGAAGCCCCUGCGGGUGGAGCUGAGACCAGUCGAAGAUACCAGCUGGCUGCAACUGUUUAUUAAAAACACAGCACUGUGCAAACACGAAAGUGGACGUAUACGGUGUGACGCCUGCCCGGUGCCGGAAGGUUAAUUGAUGGGGUUAUCCGUAAGGAGAAGCUCUUGAUCGAAGCCCCGGUAAACGGCGGCCGUAACUAUAACGGUCCUAAGGUAGCGAAAUUCCUUGUCGGGUAAGUUCCGACCUGCACGAAUGGCGUAAUGAUGGCCAGGCUGUCUCCACCCGAGACUCAGUGAAAUUGAACUCGCUGUGAAGAUGCAGUGUACCCGCGGCAAGACGGAAAGACCCCGUGAACCUUUACUAUAGCUUGACACUGAACAUUGAGCCUUGAUGUGUAGGAUAGGUGGGAGGCUUUGAAGCGUGGACGCCAGUCUGCGUGGAGCCAACCUUGAAAUACCACCCUUUAAUGUUUGAUGUUCUAACGUUGGCCCCUGACCGGGGUUGCGGACAGUGUCUGGUGGGUAGUUUGACUGGGGCGGUCUCCUCCCAAAGCGUAACGGAGGAGCACGAAGGUUAGCUAAUCCUGGUCGGACAUCAGGAGGUUAGUGCAAUGGCAUAAGCUAGCUUGACUGCGAGCGUGACGGCGCGAGCAGGUGCGAAAGCAGGUCAUAGUGAUCCGGUGGUUCUGAAUGGAAGGGCCAUCGCUCAACGGAUAAAAGGUACUCCGGGGAUAACAGGCUGAUACCGCCCAAGAGUUCAUAUCGACGGCGGUGUUUGGCACCUCGAUGUCGGCUCAUCACAUCCUGGGGCUGAAGUAGGUCCCAAGGGUAUGGCUGUUCGCCAUUUAAAGUGGUACGCGAGCUGGGUUUAGAACGUCGUGAGACAGUUCGGUCCCUAUCUGCCGUGGGCGCUGGAGAAUUGAGGGGGGCUGCUCCUAGUACGAGAGGACCGGAGUGGACGCAUCACUGGUGUUCGGGUUGUCAUGCCAAUGGCACUGCCCGGUAGCUAAAUGCGGAAGAGAUAAGUGCUGAAAGCAUCUAAGCACGAAACUUGCCCCGAGAUGAGUUCUCCCUGAGACUAUAAGUCUCCUGAAGGAACGUUAAAGACGAUGACGUUGAUAGGCCGGGUGUGUAAGCGCAGCGAUGCGUUGAGCUAACCGGUACUAAUGAACCGUGAGGCUUAACCUU
rnacentral:rRNA from 1 species